rnacentral:rRNA from 1 species
GAUGAACGCUGGCGGCGUGCUUAACACAUGCAAGUCGAGCGAAGCACUUUACUUGGAUUUCUUCGGAAUGACGAGUAUUGUGACUGAGCGGCGGACGGGUGAGUAACGCGUGGGUAACCUGCCUCAUACAGGGGGAUAACAGUUAGAAAUGACUGCUAAUACCGCAUAAGACCACAGCACCGCAUGGUGCAGGGGUCAAAACUGCGGUGGUAUGAGAUGGACCCGCGUCUGAUUAGCUGGUUGGUGGGGUAACGGCCUACCAAGGCAACGAUCAGUAGCCGGCCUGAGAGGGCGACCGGCCACAUUGGGACUGAGACACGGCCCAAACUCCUACGGGAGGCAGCAGUGGGGAAUAUUGCACAAUGGGGGAAACCCUGAUGCAGCGACGCCGCGUGAAGGAAGAAGUAUUUCGGUAUGUAAACUUCUAUCAGCAGGGAAGAAAAUGACGGUACCUGACUAAGAAGCCCCGGCUAACUACGUGCCAGCAGCCGCCGUAACAC